rnacentral:rRNA from 1 species
UAGGGAAUCUUCGGCAAUGGGGGCAACCCUGACCGAGCAACGCCGCGUGAGUGAAGAAGGUUUUCGGAUCGUAAAGCUCUGUUGUAAGAGAAGAACGUGUGUGAGAGUGGAAAGUUCACACAGUGACGGUAACUUACCAGAAAGGGACGGCUAACUACGUGCCAGCAGCCGCGGUAAUACGUAGGUCCCGAGCGUUGUCCGGAUUUAUUGGGCGUAAAGCGAGCGCAGGCGGUUUCAUAAGUCUGAAGUUAAAGGCAGUGGCUUAACCAUUGUUCGCUUUGGAAACUGUUAAACUUGAGUGCAGCAGGGGAGAGUGGAAUUCCAUGGGGAGCGGUGAAAUGCGUAGAUAUAUGGAGGAACACCGGUGGCGAAAGCGGCUCUCUGGUCUGUAACUGACGAUGAGGCUCGAAAGCGUGGGGAGCACACAGG